rnacentral:rRNA from 1 species
AAAUGAAUUGACGGGGACCCGCACAAGCGGUGGAGCAUGUGGUUUAAUUCGAUGCAACGCGAAGAACCUUACCUGGUCUUGACAUCCAUGGGAUCCCGAAGAGAUUUGGGAGUGCCGCAAGGAACCAUGAGACAGGUGCUGCAUGGCUGUCGUCAGCUCGUGUCGUGAGAUGUUGGGUUAAGUCCCGCAACGAGCGCAACCCUUGUCCUUAGUUGCCAUCAUUAAGUUGGGAACUCUAAGGAGACCGCCGGUGACAAACCGGAGGAAGGUGGGGAUGACGUCAAGUCAUCAUGGCCUUUAUGACCAGGGCUACACACGUGCUACAAUGGCAAGUACAGAGGGACGCCAACCGGUGACGGGGAGCCAAUCCCAGAAAACUUGUCGUAGUCCGGAUUGGAGUCUGCAACUCGACUCCAUGAAGUUGGAAUCGCUAGUAAUCGCAGAUCAGCAUUGCUGCGGUGAAUACGUUCCCGGGUCUUGUACACACCGCCCGU